rnacentral:rRNA from 1 species
UGGGGAAUAUUGGACAAUGGGCGAAAGCCUGAUCCAGCCAUGCCGCGUGUGUGAAGAAGGUCUUCGGAUUGUAAAGCACUUUAAGUUGGGAGGAAGGGCAGUAAAUUAAUACUUUGCUGUUUUGACGUUACCGACAGAAUAAGCACCGGCUAACUCUGUGCCAGCAGCCGCGGUAAUACAGAGGGUGCAAGCGUUAAUCGGAAUUACUGGGCGUAAAGCGCGCGUAGGUGGUUUGUUAAGUUGGAUGUGAAAUCCCCGGGCUCAACCUGGGAACUGCAUUCAAAACUGACAAGCUAGAGUAUGGUAGAGGGUGGUGGAAUUUCCUGUGUAGCGGUGAAAUGCGUAGAUAUAGGAAGGAACACCAGUGGCGAAGGCGACCACCUGGACUGAUACUGACACUGAGGUGCGAAAGCGUGGGGAGCAAACAG